rnacentral:rRNA from 1 species
GAUGAACGCUAGCGGGAGGCCUAACACAUGCAAGCCGAGCGGUAUUUGUUCUUCGGAACAGAGAGAGCGGCGCACGGGUGCGGAACACGUGUGCAACCUGCCUUUAUCUGGGGGAUAGCCUUUCGAAAGGAAGAUUAAUACCCCAUAAUAUAUUGAGUGGCAUCCUUUGAUAUGGAAAACUCCGGUGGAUAGAGAUGGGCACGCGCAAGAUUAGAUAGUUGGUGAGGUAACGGCUCGCCAAGUCAAUGAUCUUUAGGGGGCCUGAGAGGGUGAUCCCCCACACUGGUACUGAGACACGGACCAGACUCCUACGGGAGGCAGCAGUGAGGAAUAUUGGAGAAUGGGUUAGCGCCUGAUCCAGCCAUCCCGCGUGAAGGACGACGGCCCUAGGGGUUGUAAACUUCUGUUGGAUAGGGAUAAACCUACUCUCGUGAGAGUAGCUGAAGGUACUAGACGAAUAAGCACCGGCUAACUCCGUG